rnacentral:tRNA from 1 species
GGGGAUUUAGCUCAGUGGUAGAGCGCUGGCCUAGCAAGCGCAAGGCCCUGGGUUCAAUCCCCAGCUCUG